AUUGAACGCUGGCGGCAGGUCUAACACAUGCAAGUCGAACGAGUGGCGGACGGGUGAGUAAUGUCUGGGAAACUGCCUGAUGGCGGGGGCUAACUACUGGAAACGGUAGAUAAUACCGCAUACCAUCGGAUGUGCCCAGAGUGGAUUAGCUAGUCGGUGGGGUAAAGGCUCACCUAGUCGACGAUCCCUAGCUGGUCUGCGAGGAUGACCAGCCACACGGGAACGGAGACACGGGCCAGACGCCUACGGGAGGCAGCAGUGGUGAAUAUUGCACAAUGGGCGCAAGCCUGAUGCAGCCAUGCCGCGUGUAUGAAGAAGGCCUUCGGGUUGUAAAGUACUUUCAGCGGGGAGGCGUUACCCGCAGAAGAAGCACCGGCUAACUCCGUGCCAGCAGCCGCGGUAAUAC
rnacentral:rRNA from 1 species